rnacentral:rRNA from 1 species
GAUGAACGCUGGCGGCGUGCCUAAUACAUGCAAGUCGAGCGAACAGACGAGGAGCUUGCUCCUCUGACGUUAGCGGCGGACGGGUGAGUAACACGUGGAUAACCUACCUAUAAUACUGGGAUAACUUCGGGAAACCGGAGCUAAUACCGGAUAAUAUACUGAACCGUAUGGUUCAAUAGUGAAUGACGGCUUUGCUGUCUCUUAUAGAUGGAUCCGCGCCGCAUUAGCUAGUUGGUAAGGUAACGGCGUACCAAGGCAACGAUGCGUAGCCGACCUGAGAGGGGGAUCGGCCACACUGGAACUGAGACACGGUCCAGACUCCUACGGGAGGCAGCAGUAGGGAAUCUUCCGCAAUGGGCGAAAGCCUGACGGAGCAACGCCGCGUGAGUGAUGAAGGUCUUCGGAUCGUAAAACUCUGUUAUUAGGGAAGAACAAAUGUGUAAGUAACUAUGCACGUCUUGACGGUACCUAAUCAGAAAGCCACGGCUAACUACGUG